CAGAGAUAUACACCAAUACAAAAACCUCAGAACAAAAACCUGAAAGAAAUCCAUCAUUAUGCAAAGAACAAAUUGAUGAAAUCCAACAUGUCUUUUUGGGAUAUGAGGUAGAAACCCUGUUUAACAAUUUUAAUGAGCUUCUUGUUUUUGUUGAAGCAGUCAGUGAAGCUGUAACACUGUGAUUCGGGUUUAGACGUCUGGGGUAAAGGAACCACAGUUACUGUUAAAUCAGAAGGUCCAGAUGUGACUCCAACCCUCUACGUCCUGAAUCCCCAGAAACCCGGCAACACCCUGAACAAAGCGGAUCAGCUGAAUUCAGAUGUCUGUCUGGUCACAGAUUUCCAUCCGAAGGUGGAUGACGUGGUUCCAAAGGUGACAGGUGGUCCGGUCAGUGUGACCACUGAUGAUGCUGUUUCCUCAAAGAAUAACAAAUACAAUGCAGCAUUGAGAAACAAAACCAUCCACUCCUGUGGGAUGAACGGGAUGUUCAGUGAUGAAGCAGAUGAUGCAUGUGGGAACAUUUAUCCAGAAAAAGCCAAGCUGAACUUCUACCUGCUGCUGAUGAACGGAGUCCGAGUGGUGUUCACCAAAGCUCUGGCCUUCAGCACCAUCCUCACCAUCAGAGGCCUGAUCUUCUGACAAUGAGCCUUAAAGGCCACCAUACAGACAAAUUGUCUACACCUUAAAAAUACUGGAAUACAAUAAAUUUUAAUUAAUUCUCUUCAGUUUAAUAAAAAUGCAAACUAUAAUGAAAAUAAUCACAAAGAAAAUAAUUAAGUUGAAAGUCAAAUAUAGACUAAUGUUAAAACCAUAAACAGAAUCUAAGUAUGCUGAAAUAAUGAUGUUAAUAAUUUGUAGGUUGAGAAUAUUUUUUUUAUUAUUUUUAAUUUACAUUUGUAUUACAGAGAUUGCAUUGUUUUAUCACAAAUAUAAUUGUCUGUCAGUAUAAAACAUUUUUACAAAUGCAAAAUUUUAUGUUUUGAAUUUGAAGAUCUUUCUUUUUGUAAUGUGUUUAAAAUCCAAUUUAGGGUGUAUUUUUAAAUGUAGAGUUUGUGUCAUUAUCUUCCAUUAUGCAUUAGUGUUUGUUAAAUCUGAGACAUGUACAAGGAAGCAUUUUAUCUAAAAUUCUUCUGUUUUUUUUUUUUUUUUAUGUAUUUAUGUUUGAAGACUGUUGAAGCAA